ACGAUACGUCCUUUUGGGGAUAGAAGUAAUAUUCAUCAAUGUCAAAUUAAAUUCCCAUGAAAACUUAAAAGCACACAAAUAUGUAAUUGCAUAGGAUCAACAUAACCAUCAAUUCUGCUCGACCCGUGUACUAAAAAUAACUAUUACAGAACAAGAAAUCAUUGAGACUAGAAGUACGGUAUCAAACUGGGGAAAACAGUAACAGAAAGCUUACGCGCUUAAAGAUCAAUAACACGAGAAAGCUUCUGAAUACGGUUCAACAAAAAGUCUCCUUGCUUGAUAGUUGCUUGAUACAGAGCAUUCUUUGCAUCCGGGCGGUUGGUUUCUAGUACACCUGCUACUUUAUCGAUCUUGCAAUGAAGCUUCCCCGCCGCAAUGAAUCUUGACAGUUCCCUUUUGAACAUGUAUCAAAUCAAACAAUUAUACCAACCCUAAGGCCCAAACAAGCCUGGAAUCAACAUAGUAAGCUAAACAGCUAAACUAGCCGGGAGAAGCCUAAAACAUAUCUAAAACCCCUAAAAAUUGUAUUU
rnacentral:lncRNA from 1 species